ACACACACACACACACGUAUAUAUCUAUCUAUGUGCAUUGCAAAGCUCUUUAAAUCUAACAAUUAAACACCUUCAGAAAUCUGUGAAGAUUACGUUGAUGCCACUUAUUUAAUUUUAAAGAGGAAAAGGAAAUAGAUAUUUGUUUGUGCAUCUGUGGAGAUGGUUGAAGACUAUGUUCCUUUGAAGAUUGAAUAUCUCCAGCAAGAUUUCAGAUGUCUGCCAAGAUUGCUAAUGUUAAAUAGUAAUAUCUUCCCAAACAACAUUGACAACUGCCAAUGCAAUUAUUUGCUGAUAACUAGCCUGGUGAUUGAUAUGCGUGAAUGCCCUUGCAUGUUUCAAAUUUGAAUGUGUUAUGGAAUGAAAUUCUUCCAAUGAAAAAUAUUAGGUUCGGGUAAUAUGCCUGGCCAUGAAUUGGCCUAACGUAAGAUUCUAUGUUUUGAUAUUUUAGGGAUAGAGAACUAAAGUCUCAUCUUUUUCAUGUUUGGUGAUCUGACUUUAUGCCUUUACCAGUAAAUUUGAAUACACGCUUGAUAAUAGCCUGGUAGAGUAACUGAUAUUUGCCAUUUGCUUUUUGCUUGCAGUUAUGAUCACUCAAUU
rnacentral:misc_RNA from 1 species